AUUGAACGCUGGCGGCAGGCCUAACACAUGCAAGUCGAACGGUAACAGGAAGCAGCUUGCUGCUUUGCUGACGAGUGGCGGACGGGUGAGUAAUGUCUGGGAAACUGCCUGAUGGAGGGGGAUAACUACUGGAAACGGUAGCUAAUACCGCAUAACGUCGCAAGACCAAAGAGGGGGACCUUCGGGCCUCUUGCCAUCGGCUGUGCCCAGAUGGGAUUAGCUAGUAGGUGGGGUAACGGCUCACCUAGGCGACGAUCCCUAGCUGGUCUGAGAGGAUGACCAGCCACACUGGAACUGAGACACGGUCCAGACUCCUACGGGAGGCAGCAGUGGGGAAUAUUGCACAAUGGGCGCAAGCCUGAUGCAGCCAUGCCGCGUGUAUGAAGAAGGCCUUCGGGUUGUAAAGUACUUGCAGCGGGGAGGAAGGGAGUAAAGUUAAUACCUUUGCUCAUUGACGUUACCCGCAGAAGAAGCACCGGCUAACUCCGUG
rnacentral:rRNA from 1 species